UGGCAAGUUUCCUGUGCAGCGGAGGCAGAGCCUGUUGUCCUGGAAUUGGCCAAACAGUUUGGUCUGUCCAGAAACAGUCACAUGGCCUUUGAGUUUGAUGACAGAAAGGUCAAGAAAAGGUGCUGUACAGUAUCAGCGCUUGCAUCAGGAACUUCAAGAUGCUGAAUCUGCCAUUAGACAUGGAGAACCCCACAUCCAGCUACCUCGUGGGCUCCUGUUUUGCCAACCCGGAAAAAGGAACUUAUUUUAAUGCCAAAGCCAAGGGUCUGAAGCAGUUUGGACUGACUAUAAACACAGCGUUUAAAGGAGAAAUGUGAAGAUCACUAAAGCUGGGAAGGUUCUGGAGGUCCAAAUGAACAAAGCCCUGGAGCUCAGAGGAGUUCAACCUGUCACCUGCCCCGCUAACUAUACAUACACACACACACACACACACACACACUCCUCACACCUCUAACCAGAUACAAAGACAAUCUCACCUAUCAGUGAAUGAAUUAAUCAAAAAUAAUAAUAAAUCUACAAGACAAAGUACAGAAACAUUCAGAGAAUGGACUGGAUCUCAAGCUCUAGCACUCACAGCCAAAUAACUCAUAACAAAAAUAGAAACAAACACCUAAACAAGCCAAAGACUUUAGGCUCACAGACAUUUUUCAAUGAAACUAAAUCUAACACUCUUAAAAAGAAAUGUUCCAACAAGGCUUUUACAGUCUGACGUCACAGGAGAACCUACUGAAGUUCCACACAAACUUCUUAUUCUCUAGUUCUUGAGAAAACAUUCUCUAUACUGCUUUAAAGAACCCAGAAACCAAUACACUGAUCUGAGGAAAUAAAACAUUGAGAACUUUUUCCAUCUCCAAAGAACUGUAUAUCAAUUCAAGAACCCUAUACAGCCAAACAUGUUUUUUAUGGAUAACAAGAACCUUUAUUUUAAAGAGUGAAAGGCCUUGAGGAAUCAAAAACAAAUUGCUUAAGACACGCAUCGACAAUGAACUACGUUCACACCGCAAAGCAGCCAAUUCAGAAUUUUUGCUCAAAUCUAUGAGGUUGUUCAUAUGACCUUUAAAAUGUGGCUCAAAUCAGAGACUGGUCUGAAACAGGUGAUGCUCCUAAACUGACCCGCAAGUGUUAAACACC